CCAGUGCGGUAAUUCCAGCUCCAAUAGCGUAUAUUAAAGUUGUUGCAGUUAAAACGCUCGUAGUCUGAUGUAAUGGGGACUGGUGUGGGGAGCAGCAAUGCUCCUUGUAUUCGGUCUCCAUCAGUGGGACAGCAAUGUCCCGGUUUACUUUGAGGAAAUUAGAGUGUUCAAAGCAGGCGAUUGCUUGAAUACUGCAGCAUGGAAUAAUGGAAUAGGACUCGCGUCUUAUUUUGUUGGUUUGGAGAUGUGAGUAAUGAUGAAUAGGGACAGUUGGGGGCAUUGGUAUUCAGUAGUCAGAGGUGAAAUUCUUGGAUUUACUGAAGACUAACUAGUGCGAAAGCAUUUGCCAA
rnacentral:rRNA from 1 species